rnacentral:rRNA from 1 species
GUUAUAUGGUCAAGUGAAGAAGCGCAUACGGUGGAUGCCUUGGCAGUCAGAGGCGAUGAAAGACGUGGUAGCCUGCGAAAAGCUUCGGGGAGUCGGCAAACAGACUGUGAUCCGGAGAUGUCUGAAUGGGGGAACCCAGCCAUCAUAAGAUGGUUAUCUUACACUGAAUACAUAGGUGUAAGAGGCGAACCAGGGGAACUGAAACAUCUAAGUACCCUGAGGAAAAGAAAUCAACCGAGAUUCCCUUAGUAGUGGCGAGCGAACGGGGACCAGCCCUUAAGUUGUAUUGAGAUUAGCGGAACGCUCUGGAAAGUGCGGCCAUAGUGGGUGAUAGCCCUGUACGCGAAAAUCCCUUUGCAAUGAAAUCGAGUAGGACGGGGCACGAGAAACCUUGUCUGAAUAUGGGGGGACCAUCCUCCAAGGCUAAAUACUACUGACUGACCGAUAGUGAACCAGUACCGUGAGGGAAAGGCGAAAAGAACCGCGGAGAGCGGAGUGAAAUAGAUCCUGAAACCGUAUGCGUACAAGCAGUGGGAGCCCACUUUGUUGGGUGACUGCGUACCUUUUGUAUAAUGGGUCAGCGACUUAUUUUCAGUGGCGAGCUUAACCGAAUAGGGGAGGCGUAGCGAAAGCGAGUCUUAAUAGGGCGUCUAGUCGCUGGGAAUAGACCCGAAACCGGGCGAUCUAUCCAUGGGCAGGUUGAAGGUUGGGUAACACUAACUGGAGGACCGAACCGACUACCGUUGAAAAGUUAGCGGAUGACCUGUGGAUCGGAGUGAAAGGCUAAUCAAGCUCGGAGAUAGCUGGUUCUCCUCGAAAGCUAUUUAGGUAGCGCCUCAUGUAUCACUGUAGGGGGUAGAGCACUGUUUCGGCUAGGGGGUCAUCCCGACUUACCAAACCGAUGCAAACUCCGAAUACCUACAAGUGCCGAGCAUGGGAGACACACGGCGGGUGCUAACGUCCGUCGUGAAAAGGGAAACAACCCAGACCGUCAGCUAAGGUCCCAAAGUCAUGGUUAAGUGGGAAACGAUGUGGGAAGGCUUAGACAGCUAGGAGGUUGGCUUAGAAGCAGCCACCCUUUAAAGAAAGCGUAAUAGCUCACUAGUCGAGUCGGCCUGCGCGGAAGAUGUAACGGGGCUCAAACCAUGCACCGAAGCUACGGGUAUCAUCUUAUGAUGAUGCGGUAGAGGAGCGUUCUGUAAGCCUGUGAAGGUGAGUUGAGAAGCUUGCUGGAGGUAUCAGAAGUGCGAAUGCUGACAUGAGUAACGACAAUGGGUGUGAAAAACACCCACGCCGAAAGACCAAGGUUUCCUGCGCAACGUUAAUCGACGCAGGGUUAGUCGGUCCCUAAGGCGAGGCUGAAAAGCGUAGUCGAUGGAAAACAGGUUAAUAUUCCUGUACUUCUGGUUAUUGCGAUGGAGGGACGGAGAAGGCUAGGCCAGCCUGGCGUUGGUAGUCCAGGUUUAAGGUGGUAGGCUGAGAUCUUAGGUAAAUCCGGGAUCUUAAGGCCGAGAGCUGAUGACGAGUGUUCUUUUAGAACAUGAAGUGGUUGAUGCCAUGCUUCCAAGAAAAGCUUCUAAGCUUCAGGUAACCAGGAACCGUACCCCAAACCGACACAGGUGGUUGGGUAGAGAAUACCAAGGCGCUUGAGAGAACUCGGGUGAAGGAACUAGGCAAAAUGGCACCGUAACUUCGGGAGAAGGUGCGCCGGUGAGGGUGAAGCAUUUACUGCGUAAGCCCACGCUGGUCGAAGAUACCAGGCCGCUGCGACUGUUUAUUAAAAACACAGCACUCUGCAAACACGAAAGUGGACGUAUAGGGUGUGACGCCUGCCCGGUGCCGGAAGGUUAAUUGAUGGGGUUAGCGCAAGCGAAGCUCUUGAUCGAAGCCCCGGUAAACGGCGGCCGUAACUAUAACGGUCCUAAGGUAGCGAAAUUCCUUGUCGGGUAAGUUCCGACCUGCACGAAUGGCGUAACGAUGGCGGCGCUGUCUCCACCCGAGACUCAGUGAAAUUGAAAUCGCUGUGAAGAUGCAGUGUAUCCGCGGCUAGACGGAAAGACCCCGUGAACCUUUACUAUAGCUUUGCACUGGACUUUGAAUUUGCUUGUGUAGGAUAGGUGGGAGGCUUUGAAGCGUGGACGCCAGUCUGCGUGGAGCCAACCUUGAAAUACCACCCUGGCAACUUUGAGGUUCUAACUCAGGUCCGUUAUCCGGAUCGAGGACAGUGUAUGGUGGGUAGUUUGACUGGGGCGGUCUCCUCCUAAAGAGUAACGGAGGAGUACGAAGGUGCGCUCAGACCGGUCGGAAAUCGGUCGUAGAGUAUAAAGGCAAAAGCGCGCUUGACUGCGAGACAGACACGUCGAGCAGGUACGAAAGUAGGUCUUAGUGAUCCGGUGGUUCUGUAUGGAAGGGCCAUCGCUCAACGGAUAAAAGGUACUCCGGGGAUAACAGGCUGAUACCGCCCAAGAGUUCAUAUCGACGGCGGUGUUUGGCACCUCGAUGUCGGCUCAUCACAUCCUGGGGCUGAAGCCGGUCCCAAGGGUAUGGCUGUUCGCCAUUUAAAGUGGUACGCGAGCUGGGUUUAGAACGUCGUGAGACAGUUCGGUCCCUAUCUGCCGUGGACGUUUGAGAUUUGAGAGGGGCUGCUCCUAGUACGAGAGGACCGGAGUGGACGAACCUCUGGUGUUCCGGUUGUCACGCCAGUGGCAUUGCCGGGUAGCUAUGUUCGGAAAAGAUAACCGCUGAAAGCAUCUAAGCGGGAAACUUGCCUCAAGAUGAGAUCUCACUGGAACCUUGAGUUCCCUGAAGGGCCGUCGAAGACUACGACGUUGAUAGGUUGGGUGUGUAAGCGCUGUGAGGCGUUGAGCUAACCAAUACUAAUUGCCCGUGAGGCUUGACCAUAUAACACCCAAGCAAUU